rnacentral:sRNA from 1 species
ACGCACGCAGCUGGAGCUGGUCUUAGCAGGUGUCUCUCUACUGCUGGCUGCACUGCUUCUGGGCUGCCUUGUGGCCCUAGGGGUCCAGUACCACAGAGACCCAUCCCACAGCACCUGCCUUACAGAGGCCUGCAUUCGAGUGGCUGGAAAAAUCCUGGAGUCCCUGGACCGAGGGGUGAGCCCCUGUGAGGACUUUUACCAGUUCUCCUGUGGGGGCUGGAUUCGGAGGAACCCCCUGCCCGAUGGGCGUUCUCGCUGGAACACCUUCAACAGCCUCUGGGACCAAAACCAGGCCAUACUGAAGCACCUGCUUGAAAACACCACCUUCAACUCCAGCAGUGAAGCUGAGCGGAAGACACAGCGCUUCUACCUAUCUUGCCUACAGGUGGAGCGCAUUGAGGAGCUGGGAGCCCAGCCACUGAGAGACCUCAUUGACAAGAUUGGUGGUUGGAACAUUACGGGGCCCUGGGACCAGGACAACUUUAUGGAGGUGUUGAAGGCAGUAGCAGGGACCUACAGGGCCACCCCAUUCUUCACCGUCUACAUCAGUGCCGACUCUAAGAGUUCCAACAGCAAUGUUAUCCAGGUGCUCACUGCCUAUCUGGAUUACAUGGAGGAACUGGGGCUGCUGCUGGGUGGGCGGCCCACCUCCACGAGGGAGCAGAUGCAGCAGGUGCUGGAGUUGGAGAUACAGCUGGCCAACAUCACAGUGCCCCAGGACCAGCGGCGCGACGAGGAGAAGAUCUACCACAAGAUGAGCAUUUCGGAGCUGCAGGCUCUGGCGCCCUCCAUGGACUGGCUUGAGUUCCUGUCUUUCUUGCUGUCACCAUUGGAGUUGAGUGACUCUGAGCCUGUGGUGGUGUAUGGGAUGGAUUAUUUGCAGCAGGUGUCAGAGCUCAUCAACCGCACGGAACCAAGCAUCCUGAACAAUUACCUGAUCUGGAACCUGGUGCAAAAGACAACCUCAAGCCUGGACCGACGCUUUGAGUCUGCACAAGAGAAGCUGCUGGAGACCCUCUAUGGCACUAAGAAGUCCUGUGUGCCGAGGUGGCAGACCUGCAUCUCCAACACGGAUGACGCCCUUGGCUUCGCUUUGGGGUCCCUCUUCGUGAAGGCCACGUUUGACCGGCAAAGCAAAGAAAUUGCAGAGGGGAUGAUCAGCGAAAUCCGGACCGCAUUUGAGGAGGCCCUGGGACAGCUGGUUUGGAUGGAUGAGAAGACCCGCCAGGCAGCCAAGGAGAAAGCAGAUGCCAUCUAUGAUAUGAUUGGUUUCCCAGACUUUAUCCUGGAGCCCAAAGAGCUGGAUGAUGUUUAUGACGGGUACGAAAUUUCUGAAGAUUCUUUCUUCCAAAACAUGUUGAAUUUGUACAACUUCUCUGCCAAGGUUAUGGCUGACCAGCUCCGCAAGCCUCCCAGCCGAGACCAGUGGAGCAUGACCCCCCAGACAGUGAAUGCCUACUACCUUCCAACUAAGAAUGAGAUCGUCUUCCCCGCUGGCAUCCUGCAGGCCCCCUUCUAUGCCCGCAACCACCCCAAGGCCCUGAACUUUGGUGGCAUCGGUGUGGUCAUGGGCCAUGAGUUGACGCAUGCCUUUGAUGACCAAGGUAGGGGCCCAUGGAGUCGUCCCCUCUAGCCUAGAAUUCCCAGUGGCUCCUGCAAGGCCUUGGGACAUUGAUGUAGCCCCAAGGGCCCUGAAGUCUGUGGACCAGGGCUGGUGGGGGCACUGCUGCCCCCAAGAGAUGAGCUCUGGUUUUGGUGGGGUGCAAAGGUGAGUUCUCCUCAGGGCGCGAGUAUGACAAAGAAGGGAACCUGCGGCCCUGGUGGCAGAAUGAGUCCCUGGCAGCCUUCCGGAACCACACGGCCUGCAUGGAGGAACAGUACAAUCAAUACCAGGUCAAUGGGGAGAGGCUCAACGGCCGCCAGACGCUGGGGGAGAACAUUGCUGACAACGGGGGGCUGAA